rfam:Sorghum bicolor cultivar BTx623 chromosome 3, whole genome shotgun sequence.
GUAGUCGGAUUCACAUCAAUUCAUAUGUACUGGGAUGGAUUGGAGUGAAAUUUAAAUUAAAUUACACCCUAGUCCACCUCAACACAUGUAAAUUGACGUAAAUACGAUU